AGGCUGCAUGUGAUGACUGCAUAGUUCAUCAGAUAACCCGUGGUGAACAUGCUGCUAUAGUCUUUUGCUCCUAUCUGAUGUAGCCC